UUGUGUGGAGAAGACCAAAUGGUAACAAGCAAUAACGUAUUUUAAUCUUUUGCAUGCACAUGGAAUUUUUGAAAAAUUGUAGGUUUAUAGUUGGGACAGGUUAGGUUGGAGAAGCAAUAGGUUCGAUAUCACGAAUAGACUACUGAAAACUAACCCCUUACAUUAAUUCAAAUGUGGUACAAUGUCCUACAAAUUGUUGGCAAAUUUAAUACUAAAGAGAACAGAGCUUCUUUUUUCAAACCAUAAAAUAGCGUAUAUGCGCACGAAUUUCUGGUUUCAGUAACGUACCGCACUCUACUGGGCGGCCACUGUCCGACCCAAUUAACCAGCUGAAACGCGGGAUCAAGCAUUCCGUGAAUCACGUUGUAACGCUCUUUAUCAUUCUGGAAUAUGCCAACGGAUUCCAUGAGUCCCAUUUUGGUUUCAUUUACUAUAUAAAAGAUUUCGGUGCCGGAACCUGAAUGAUGCUCGUGGAGGAUUGACGCACACUUGAAGACUAUCUGGUGGGGUGCAGAUGGCGGACGGUAUGUGGAGAAUGCGAAUGAACCACGAGUUGCAUUAUAUGUUGGUAGAGCCAGCCAUCGUUUGAACUGCGAAUAUAGGAAGAUUGCGGUGGGCCGGCCACGUAGCCAGAAUGUCGAAUAGUAACCCGGUGAAAAUGGUUUAUGACAAAAAUACGACGGACACAUUAAGACGAGGUGCACAGCGAGCAAAGUGGGUCGAUCAGGUGACGAAAGAUGUGAGGCACCUCCGUAGACUGUCUGACGUACAGUCAUGGGCCGUGCUGCAUGGAGAAAGCUGUUAUGUAACCGUCGGUUCCAUUAUUAGCUUGUGGCUCCUCCACAAUUCCAAAAUACUCCAAUCACCCAAAACAAUAUACGCCUCAAUCAAAACAAAUAUCCCAUCCGAAUGAGAUAGUUGGCACUCACGCAGUGACUUGGUGUGUGAGCUGAGCCUGUCUCACUCUCACGGCGAUCUGUCAUGCUAGAGUGACAGCUCAUAUUCGUGCGGUGUGAACCGGCCUUUAUCAGCCAAUGAUGGUUCUAGCCCACAGGUGGAGCGUUAAUAGCGCAAAUACAGGCUGCGGAAAUGCGAAAAGCAUAAAAUUAUUUACCUUAGAUUCUGGGUUUCCUAUAAAUAGGAAAUAAAUCCCAGAAUCGUUCUCUUUUGGCUGGUGAAUCUAGAACGGUCUAGAAGUGCGCGCGUGUGUAGAUUUUUAUUAGAUAGAGGUGUUAGUCCGUUAGUAAAAACGGCUAAUUGUAGUACGUCGAAUUAAAAUUGUGUUAGUAAAAGUUAUGAUUGUAAAAAUCCGAUUGUUAAAAGUUAAUUGUUCAAACACAAACAUCGACAAACAAGAAGAAACUAUAAGGAAAAGGUCCGAGGCAAGGGCCUUUUUCUUUUAUUUUGGGCUUUUUCCCAGCAAACGGCCGGAGAAAGCGACGACGAGCCACCUCUAGCGACGCACCAACACCAACUCCAAUGCCAGCCAUAAGACGCCAUUGUUGAUGGCAUCCCACGGUUCGAACGCCUAUGAACCCCCUCACCUGGCGACAAGCUCCCCUGCAACCAUCCGCCAUUGCGAAAGCGGCAUUUUCGCCUUUGGAUUCCGCACCAUCUCGCCCGGUUGCUAGCUGUAAUCGCCGAUUGCUGUAAACCUCCUUGGAGUCUGGCGCAAACAUGCAACACCAGUUCGGCAUUCGUUGUCGGAUCCUACCUCCACCAUUCGGAACCAGAGGUUCCCUACCACACCACUACAAACCACAAACCGCAAGUACUAAAACCCCAAAGUGACGUAGUUAAUAAAUAGGACUAGUUUGUAAAGAUGUCCAGUGGUAGCUUAUUUAAAGAGCAUAGCCCUGAGGUAAAGCUUUUCCACCACUUUGUUCUUUUUCGCUUUGU